AUGCAAGUCUAACGAUGAUCCCAGCUUGCUGGGGGAUUAGUGGCGAACGGGUGAGUAACACGUGAGUAACCUGCCCUUGACUCUGGGAUAAGCCUGGGAAACUGGGUCUAAUACCGGAUACGACCAUUCCACGCAUGUGGUGGUGGUGGAAAGCUUUUGUGGUUUUGGAUGGACUCGCGGCCUAUCAGCUUGUUGGUGGGGUAAUGGCCUACCAAGGCGACGACGGGUACCCGGCCUGAGAGGGUGACCGGCCACACUGGGACUGACACACGGCUAAGACUCCUACGGGAGGCAGCAGUGGGGAAUAUUGCACAAUGGGCGCAAGCCUGAUGCAGCGACGCCGCGUGAGGGAUGACGGCCUUCGGGUUGUAAACCUCUUUCAGUAGGGAAGAAGCGUAAGUGACGGUACCUGCAGAAGAAGCGCCGGCUAACUACGUGCCAGCAGCCGCGGUAAUACGUAGGGCGCAAGCGUUAUCCGGAAUUAUUGGGCGUAAAGAGCUCGUAGGCGGUUUGUCGCGUCUGCUGUGAAAGACCGGGGCUCAACUCCGGUUCUGCAGUGGGUACGGGCAGACUAGAGUGCAGUAGGGGAGACUGGAAUUCCUGGUGUAGCGGUGAAAUGCGCAGAUAUCAGGAGGAACACCGAUGGCGAAGGCAGGUCUCUGGGCUGUAACUGACGCUGAGGAGCGAAAGCAUGGGGGAG
rnacentral:rRNA from 1 species